AACGCGAAGAACCUUACCCAGGCUCGAACGGUACGCGACGGCGGCAGAGAUGUCGUUUUCCUUCGGGACGCGUAUCGAGGUGCUGCAUGGUUGUCGUCAGCUCGUGCCGUGAGGUGUCGGCUUAAGUGCCACAACGAGCGCAACCCUUGUUGACAGUUGCCAUCGGGUAAAGCCGGGGACUCUGUCGAGACUGCCACCGUAAGGUGUGAGGAAGGUGGGGAUGACGUCAAAUCAGCACGGCCCUUAUGUCUGGGGCGACACACGUGUUACAAUGGCGAGUACAGAGGGUCGCUACCUGGCGACAGGAUGCUAAUCUCGAAAACUCAUCUCAGUUCGGAUCGGAGUCUGCAACUCGACUCCGUGAAGUUGGAUUCGCUAGUAAUCGCGCAUCAGCCAUGGCGCGGUGAAUACGUUCCCGGGUCUUGUACACACCG
rnacentral:rRNA from 1 species